AAGUUAAUAUUCCUUCGGAAUAGAGCAACAAAGAAUGAGCGAGCGAGAUGUCACUAUCUGCAACCCUGUGUGAUAAAAAGAGAUGUGUGAUGCUAUCAUCGUCACGUCAAUAGAACCAUUUUUGCAAAAGAUUUGACAGGCAGUGACACAUAGAGGCACAAAGCAGAAUUUCAAAUCACAGUUUUUUCUAAAAAUUUCGUAAAAUCCUGUAUAGUUUUGGAAUUUUUUUAUUGUAAUACAAUGGGGACCUGUUCCGUCCUUGAUUGUGAUGUAAACCAGAGAAAUAAUCCCGCAAAAUAUUCAUUUCACAGAUUUCCGACUAACGAAGAUGUAAGAAAAACAUGGCUCAAAUUAAUUAAUCGUCCAAAUUGGAUUCCAACUAAAUAUGCCACUUUAUGUAGCAAACAUUUUGAUAGUAAAUAUUUUCGAAAAAUUGGAGCCAGAAUCACGUUGAAAAAAUGUGCAAUCCCUACAGAGUUUGUAGGGAUUUGUUGUAUUGCGCUAUUUUUUUAUUGCGCUGAUUCUGCUGCACACUGAUGUCUGGAUCCUUUAAUGGAUGGUAUUGUUUGUUUACACAUACAAUGUCAUUAUUUUGUUGCAAUUUCUUACAAAACUUGCGCGCAAACAGCAAAUCUAGUAUGAAAAUCAUCAAACUUCUGAUGCUCGUAACUCAUUUCAGACUGAGUUUAGAGGUAUACAUGUCAUAGUAAGUUUGGUUUAUUACACUAUUUUGUAAUCAAAAACCAAGGUUUGGUCGAUGGCCGCGCGAAAAAAAAAAGACGCUAAUUUCCGGCAUUGUCUUUUAUUAUUACAUCGCAUUCGUUAGAAUCCUAUUUUUUACAUUAUCGUCAGAAUUAUCAUUUUUAAUUAUUGACUUACUCUUACUAAUUAGAAAUCAGAAAGUUUGUAUGGAUGUCUUGAUGUUUGUUGCUCUUUCAAUUAAAUCAGUUAAAUCAUUUUAA